rnacentral:rRNA from 1 species
CCGUUGCCGGCGACCGGCGCACGGGUGAGUAACACGUAUGCAACCUGCCCGUGGCAGGGGGAUAAGCGGGGGAAACCCCGUCUAAUACCGCGUAACGCGGCCUAGGGACAUCCCAAGGCCGCCAAAGGGAGCAAUCCCGGCCACGGAUGGGCAUGCGGCGCAUUAGCUAGUCGGCGGGGUAACGGCCCACCGAGGCGACGAUGCGUAGGGAUUCUGAGAGGAAGGCCCCCCACACUGGUACUGAGACACGGACCAGACUCCUACGGAAGGCAGCAG